rnacentral:pre_miRNA from 1 species
AUUGUUCACUCUCCCUCAAGGCUUCAAGCCAUCUGUGGUAAAAUCCCAGGCUCGAGGUCUAGAGGGAGAGUGGAUAA